GGCUGUUUGCUAAGUUGUCUGUUAUGUGUAGACACAACACUGGGUUGUAGACAAAAACUCUGAGUACAAGGACUGGACUGAAAAUUGGUGAAAAGCCUGAAGAACUAUUGUUCAAGAGCACUUUAAAAAAUGACAGGAUAGUCUGAGUCCCGGGAAGCCAAAGAAAAGAGGGUUGGCUUAAGACUUUUGCACAGUCUGCUUUGCAGCUAACUAUGACAUUACAUAUUUAAAAGGUAUGCAUAUGUGGUUGAAUUAUAUCAUAUGUACCUUUAAAGUUAAUUCUGAAUGCAAUACUUCCCUGUUCUUAAAUUUUGGUGUUACUAUUGCAGGGACCCGUGGCAGGAUGUGCCGUGGUGCGUCUGGAUCUCGUCCCGAAGCUGUGACAUCUCUCAGGUCUUCUCAAACUUUGAGCUGUACAACAUGAUUCGCCUCGGUGUUCACCUCAAUCCCAGCUCCACUGUGUGGCUCAAACCACGCAAGUUUGACUACAGUGACUUCAACUUCAGUCCUCCUUCGGUCUCCGUCUCUUUGAAAGACGACCAGAUGGUGGUGCAGGUGCACUUCCCCUGUGCUGCCAACAGGAGGUGCUCUCUGGAGAGGUGCUGUCCCAUCUCUAAGCUGAUUGAUCCCUGGACCACAGUGACUGUGUAUAACGCGCUGAGUGGUGCAGAAUACCAGGUGUGGCUAUGCUUUGUCUCCAGUUUUACUGAUAUUUAAGAACAGGGAAGUAUUGCUAGUAAAGCUAAAUACACUUUAAAUAUGUAGUGUUAGUUAUACGUAGAUACAAAACAGACUUGAAGACCUACAGUACUGUGCAACCCCUCAUUUCUAAUAUUUGGUUUCCAAUGAGCCAGACUUUCAUGUAAUUGUUUAAUAUGCUCUUGAGCAAUACUUCAGUUUUUCUAAAUGUCUCUCAACGUUUUUCUUUGGCUGCUUUGUCACUCAUUUUCAGUCCAGUCCUUGUACCUGACCAUUUUCAAGGGAAUGUUUGUUUGUUAGGACACUUAAUACUGACCUAUGAAUCAUUCAAGCAGCAGUACCAGUAGUGGUAGUAGUACCAGCUACACAUUAUACAUGCUUGUUUCUUGCAGAGUCGCACAGUCUGGACUCAGGAUGUUGUGUCGUAUGUGGAGUUCUCCGGUUUGCCCCUGGGUCAGAAAUACUGCGCUGAGGCCAACUUCUCCUUCCCAACCUUUGCCAUGGCCGCUUCACCAAAAUCAGCCCCUCAGUGCGUUGAAACAGUCACCAGUUCAGGUGAGGAGAUGAGAUACAGUUUACUUUAAAAACUAGAGGUUGCCAAAGUAGCAGCUACCUGAACCACCUUCACAUUUGAUAGCUUAAAAAAUUACUGAUAACAAAUGCUACUUCUAUAGUUUUGACUCUGGGAACAGUAAGCAGACCUGUCCAUGGAUCAUUCACAACACAUCCUACUUUCAUUGGUUAUGAGGUCCAAAAUACUGCUUAGGUGCUAUUAGGAUACUAAGAACCUGCCAGGAAACUGCAAGAAAGCCUCAUAAAGACAGCUGUGCUUGGAUCCUUAAACGAUGUGAACCACACUUUAGAAGUCCAAGAGGUCAGCUAGAUCAGCAGAAGCUUAGUUUGCCUCUUCCUGCAGCUUUUCUGGUGAUACAACUUGUAAAUCUUGGGUCUGAAAUUUAGUUUAGUUCUAUGCUCCUUUGAGCAGAGACAUGUUAGACUUGCAUGCAUUUCUUCCCUACAGGGCUGCUGCCGGCGCUGUGUCUGGGAAUCGGCCUGACUUCCCUUCUUCUUUUCCCACUUCUCAUCAUGUAUCUACGAAAAUCAAGACAAGCCGCACCAGCCACUGAGAAUCAGCCCAAGGCUCCGGUAUGAUUUGUUGUGUUUCACUUUAUUUCACCCUCUGUUUCUAUAAAAUACUUAAAAGAUUUCUUCUUUCAUUCCUUAAGUCGUCUGUUCAAGAUCCGAUCCCUUUGGUUCCUCUGUCCCUGGGUACAGUCGACCCUUGCGAGAUCCAUUUGGAAUUUAUUCCUGACCAUGUUUCCACUGAGCCCUUCUCUGGCAUCGUGUCCAAUCAGAAUCUAAAUCACAAACAGGGAAUCAUGCACUCCAGCAAUCGUCUCAAUUAUGACACCAAAUCGGAUGAAGUGUACUGGGACAGCGGAGGGAUGGAGCUAGGUUGCGGCCUGGACUCUGGCAUCAGCAUCCCACCUGUUUCUCGCUCCUCUGAAGAGACAUGUGGGCCCCUUGGAGACUGAUACUGAAAGGCUGAGAGCUUUCUCUUUGUAAAUGUUGCUCUGUAAGGCUGGAGUUUGCCUCUUUCUCCCUCAGGGAUGAAAUAGGAGACUAAACUGCUCAAAGUAUGGACAAACACAUUAUGAUUAUCUGGAAGCUGAAAACAAGUUGUCUUCAUAGAUUUUGGAAGCUAAACCUUUAAGCAAACAUUGAUGAGAAGGCCCUAAACACAGGAUAAAUGGAAGCCUUAAAAACAACAGUUUCAGAAAACCUUUUCUGCUGAUGAAGACCAAGUGAUAGGACUGAAACCUACAGACUGACUGUUAAAUAGAUAUCUGGGUUCAAAAAUGAACUGUAAUAGGAAACAAUUGUCUUUUCCCCAGUUUGUAAGUACACAUACACAAAAUCUUUAGCUGAAGUCGAGAGCACCUGGUUAGAUUUUUUUUGUCUGCAAAAAAUAAAUCUGCAGAACUGAGUUAAUUACAAUCACAUUAAAAAAGAACGUUUUCACAGGACUGGAUAGAGUCUUAAAAAAUAAGUAUACCCCAUGAUUUGGGUAUCCAGAGGAGUUCAUGGUUCACACAAUGACUCCAAGGUGUCCAGGUCCCGUGGCUGCAAAACAAGUCUAAAUCAUCACCGCUCCACCACCGUGUGUCACAGUGGCUAUGAUGUGUUUGGGUUUUCUCCAAAUGUGGUGCUGUGCUUCAUGGCCACAAUCUCCACUUAGGUCUCAUCUGUCCAAAGAACAUUGUUCCAGAACUUCUGUGGUUUGUUCAGAUGCAACUUUGCAACCUCAGCCGAGCUGCCUUUUUUCCAACAAACUCUCCAAACACACCAAAAAAUGCUCAGUUUUUUUCUUUGUACUGAUAUGAACCAUGCAAUUUAAGUGGCUAACUGAGCCCUGUAGCAUCUGAGAUAUAGCUUACAGGUUUUUGCUGUUUCUCAAAGACUUGCACUGUCUGACCUUGAGGUGAAUUUGCUGGGAUGUAAACUGGGAAGAUUUAGCAAUGCGUUAAAACACAAAUCGGGUAACUGCCAAAACGUCUGCUUGCAUAGAGGCUGUCAGACUUGCUGAUGAUCGGGUAAUCAAGUGCAUUUGAUUAUCACCACCUGGCCGCUACUUACCCUCUUAAUUUCUGUCAAAGCAGUAAAAGAUGUAUUUAGUUUUUCAUAGGACUGCACCGAGCCUGUGAACGCUUUCUUUUCCCAUGACUGCAGACCGCUCCGUACUGCAACUACAAAGACAACAGUUUGAACCAUUAAGAUCUGUUAGCUUAAUAUUUUAACCUUUAUUCAACUACUUCUAGUACAAAAUAACAGUGAUACGUUGUGUUCACCAGUGACCAUUUUUACCCAGUUAUCCAGUUGUGCUAUUAGCUAUUUCGACUGUUAUCCCUGCUAUUAGCUUGCAACUGAAAUGCUAGCCACUGCACUAUUGUGUUUCAAUUGUCUAUCCAUGAUAUCCAGUGGUAUCAUUUUCUUCUCAAAUAUGUCUAACUGUUAGCCAUAUUGCUUUUUAAUGAUCAAUUUCUAUCAUUUGUUCACAUUUUGGAUGUAUAUAUUUACAAAUUAUUACAUGGGCUGACCUCCUGGGAAGAUUGUAGCAACACAUUAACGCACAGUUGUGCUAUCAGCUAUUUCAGCUGUUAUCCUUGUUAUCUUACAAUUCACAUGCAAGCAACUGUAUUUUAACUGUUUAUCCAUUAUGUUUGAUGCAUUACCUUUUGAAAUAUGAUAGCCAGACUGCUUUUAAUUACCCUUUUCUAUCAUUUUGACCAAUAUUUUUUUAAAUAAUUUAUGCAUAUUGCCAUUACUUAGUUUUUUAAUUCUGCUUCUUAUUUUUUUGAAGGGGCGGGGGGGCUGCCAUGCUUGUUCAAGUCCACCCAGUUCUGUAAACCCCCAGCUGCUGUAGAAACAGGCUACGUCCUAAUUGGGAGUUACUGUGAGGCUUAUAAUGGGUCCUCAGCACCCAAUACUUGUCUUCUAUUUUGGUUCUAAUGAACAGACUGGCUGCUGUGUUGGUUGGUCAGGGGUAGCAGGGUUGUCCAAUGAGUUUUCACGAGUUCACACCCCCCAAGGAGCGUCUUUGACGUGGAUAAUGGCUCCCUUAGGUUUGUUUGGGUGCCGCCUGUGCUUAACUCGGACCUCUGAACUUUCCUUCUCAGAUUAGGCAUCACAUUGCAGAGAGACCGAUAAACAGAGGCCACCGGUUUACUGCUCACAUUAUGAUUGUGUUUUGUUGUCAGCUAUGAAGUAAUAGAAAUGUGGCUCCUAAUCUGAAACCUACAAGCAGAUUCCUGUCAGAUAUGAGUCAGUGUUGCAGGAACAGGGUCAGAGAACUGAAUGGUGAGUGAAAUUUAUCAGUCAAGCAAAAAUUGUUUAUCUGGGAGGUCCAAAAGAAGCCGUUUUGUGUGCGUGUGUAAACAUCAACUUACUCGGAGAAUGGUUCUUGUCCCCCCUGCUUUUUGUGCUGAAUUCCAGUCCAAACCAUAGCUUCAUAAACAAGAGCUAGGAAAACUUUAGACCCCCCACAUACUGCCGGCAGCUCUGCCGAUAACAUAGUGUGUUAUUUUU
ensembl:lncRNA